UACGGAGGAUCCAAGCGUUAUCCGGAUUUAUUGGGUUUAAAGGGAGCGUAGGCGGCCUAUUAAGUCAGGGGUGAAAGACGGCAGCUUAACUGUCGCAGUGCCUUUGAUACUGAUAGGCUUGAAUGUAGUUGAGGUAGGCGGAAUGUGACAAGUAGCGGUGAAAUGCAUAGAUAUGUCACAGAACACCGAUUGCGAAGGCAGCUUACUAAGCUAUAAUUGACGCUGAGGCUCGAAAGCGUGGGGAUCAAACAGG
rnacentral:rRNA from 1 species